GACGAACGCUGGCGGCGCGCUUAACACAUGCAAGUCGAACGGAAAGGCCUGCUUUCCCUUGUGGAUUGCGGGUACUCGAGUGGCGAACGGGUGAGUAACACGUGAGUGAUCUGCCCCCAACUUGGGUAUAAGCCUGGGAAACUGGGUCUAAUUCCCGAUAGGACUGCAGGGUGGUGCCUGUGGUGGAAAACGAUUUUCUAGUGGUUGGGGAUGAGCUCGCGGCCUAUCAGCUUGUUGGUGGGGUAAUGGCCUACCAAGGCGGCGACGGGUAGCCGGCCUGGGAGGGUGGACGGCCACAUUGGGACUGGGAUACGGCCCAGACUCCUACGGGAGGUAGCAGUGGGGAAUAUUGCACAAUGGGCGGAAGCCUGAUGCAGCGACGCCGCGUGGGGGAUGACGGCCUUCGGGUGGUAAACUCCUUUCGACCGCGAGGAAGCCACCUGGUUGGAAGGGUGGUGACGGUAGUGUUAGAAGAAGCACCGGCUAACUACGUG
rnacentral:rRNA from 1 species